AACGUGCCCUUCUCUAAGGAAUAGCCACUGGAAACGGUGAGUAAUACCUUAUACGCCCUUCGGGGGAAAGAUUUAUCGGAGAAGGAUCGGCCCGCGUUAGAUUAGAUAGUUGGUGGGGUAACGGCCUACCAAGUCUACGAUCUAUAGCUGGUUUUAGAGGAUGAUCAGCAACACUGGGACUGAGACACGGCCCAGACUCCUACGGGAGGCAGCAGUGGGGAAUCUUGGACAAUGGGCGCAAGCCUGAUCCAGCCAUGCCGCGUGAGUGAUGAAGGCCUUAGGGUCGUAAAGCUCUUUCGCCAGAGAUGAUAAUGACAGUAUCUGGUAAAGAAACCCCGGCUAACUCCGUGCCAGCAGCCGCGGUAAUACGGAGGGGGUUAGCGUUGUUCGGAAUUACUGGGCGUAAAGCGCACGUAGGCGGAUCAGAAAGUUGGGGGUGAAAUCCCGGGGCUCAACCCCGGAACUGCCUCCAAAACUCCUGGUCUUGAGUUCGAGAGAGGUGAGUGGAAUUCCGAGUGUAGAGGUGAAAUUCGUAGAUAUUCGGAGGAACACCAGUGGCGAAGGCGGCUCACUGGCUCGAUACUGACGCUGAGGUGCGAAAGUGUGGGGAGCAAACAGGAUUAGAUACCCUGGUAGUCCACACCGUAAACGAUGAAUGCCAGUCGUCAGCAAGCAUGCUUGUUGGUGACACACCUAACGGAUUAAGCAUUCCGCCUGGGGAGUACGGUCGCAAGAUUAAAACUCAAAGGAAUUGACGGGGGCCC
rnacentral:rRNA from 1 species